GAUGAACGCUGGCGGCGUGCCUAGUACAUGCAAGUCGAGCGAACGGACGAGAAGCUUGCUUCUCUGAUGUUAGCGGCGGACGGGUGAGUAACACGUGGAUAACCUACCUAUAAGACUGGGAUAACUUCAGGAAACCGGAGCUAAUACCGGAUAAUAUUUUGAACCGCAUGGUUCAAAAGUGAAAGACGGUCUUGCUGUCACUUAUAGAUGGAUCCGCGCUGCAUUAGCUAGUUGGUAAGGUAACGGCUUACCAAGGCAACGAUGCAUAGCCGACCUGAGAGGGUGAUCGGCCACACUGGAACUGAGACACGGUCCAGACUCCUACGGGAGGCAGCAGUAGGGAAUCUUCCGCAAUGGGCGAAAGCCUGACGGAGCAACGCCGCGUGAGUGAUGAAGGUCUUCGGAUCGUAAAACUCUGUUAUUAGGGAAGAACAUAUGUGUAAGUAACUGUGCACAUCUUGGCGGUACCUAAUCAGAAAGCCACGGCUGACUACGUGCCAGCAGCCGCGGUAAUACGUAGGUGGCAAGCGUUAUCCGGAAUUAUUGGGCGUAAAGCGCGCGUAGGCGGUUUUUUAAGUCUGAUGUGAAAGCCCACGGCUCAACCGUGGAGGGUCAUUGGAAACUGGAAAACUUGAGUGCAGAAGAGGAAAGUGGAAUUCCAUGUGUAGCGGUGAAAUGCGCAGAGAUAUGGAGGAACACCAGUGGCGAAGGCGACUUUCUGGUCUGUAACUGACGCUGAUGUGCGAAAGCGUGGGGAUCAAACAGGAUUAGAUACCCUGGUAGUCCACGCCGUAAACGAUGAGUGCUAAGUGUUAGGGGGUUUCCGCCCCUUAGUGCUGCAGCUAACGCAUUAAGCACUCCGCCUGGGGAGUACGACCGCAAGGUUGAAACUCAAAGGAAUUGACGGGGACCCGCACAAGCGGUGGAGCAUGUGGUUUAAUUCGAAGCAACGCGAAGAACCUUACCAAAUCUUGACAUCCUUUGACAACUCUAGAGAUAGAGCUUUCCCCUUCGGGGGACAAAGUGACAGGUGGUGCAUGGUUGUCGUCAGCUCGUGUCGUGAGAUGUUGGGUUAAGUCCCGCAACGAGCGCAACCCUUAAGCUUAGUUGCCAUCAUUAAGUUGGGCACUCUAAGUUGACUGCCGGUGACAAACCGGAGGAAGGUGGGGAUGACGUCAAAUCAUCAUGCCCCUUAUGAUUUGGGCUACACACGUGCUACAAUGGACAAUACAAAGGGCAGCGAAACCGCGAGGUCAAGCAAAUCCCAUAAAGUUGUUCUCAGUUCGGAUUGUAGUCUGCAACUCGACUACAUGAAGCUGGAAUCGCUAGUAAUCGUAGAUCAGCAUGCUACGGUGAAUACGUUCCCGGGUCU
rnacentral:rRNA from 1 species